rnacentral:rRNA from 1 species
AGCAGCCGCGGUAAUUCCAGCUCCAAUAGCGUAUAUUAAAGUUGUUGCAGUUAAAAAGCUCGUAGUUGAAUUUCGGGGCCAGUAGGUUGGUCGUGCCACUGGUAUGUACUGGCCUUACUGGUCCCUCCUUCUUGUAGAACCGUGAUGGCAUUAAUUUGUUGUUGCGGGGAAACAGGACUGUUACUUUGAAAAAAUUAGAGUGCUUAAAGCAGGCUCGCGCUUGAAUAUAUUAGCAUGGAAUAACGAAAUAGGACGAUCGAACCUAUUUUGUUGGUUUCUAGGAUCGACGUAAUGAUUAAUAGGGAUAGUUGGGGGCAUUAGUAUUCAAUUGUCAGAGGUGAAAUUCUUGGAUUUAUUGAAGACUAACUACUGCGAAAGCAUUUGCCAAGGAUGUUUUCAUUAAUCAAGAACGAAAGUUAGGGGAUCGAAGACGAUCAGAUACCGUCGUAGUCUUAACCAUAAACUAUGCCGACUAGGGAUCGGAUGAAGUAAUUUUUAAUGACUCAUUCGGCGCCUUACG